rnacentral:lncRNA from 1 species
UUGAGAGCAAUGAGGCCCGAAGUCGCGCUCUCCGUGGCCAAAACAGUGUUUCACUGCGACGAACGUGACAUUCUUGACAAGGUCAUGACCCCAUGCACUAUAAUCCAAACCACUAAUGAUGCUGCUGUCCCAAACUCUGUGGCCGAGUAUAUGCAGAAGAAGAUCAAGGGGGAAACCACAGUGGAGAAGAUAGACAUGGAUGGCCAUUUCCCACAUCUAAAUGCACACCUCCAGUUCCUUAAUGUGCUAGGUAGUGUCUUGGGUUUCAAUCCUCAUCUGGAGUCGUCAGACAAUUAGCUACAAAUUUCCACUUUUUCUAUCUCCAUAGAUAUAUCUUUCUCUUUCAGGUAGCCUAUAAGAGAAUAUGGUCAGAAAUUAAUGUCCAUUUGCAGUACAUGUGUUUUCAAGGCUUGGUGGGCUAGCUAGAGAUUGGAAUUGGUAUAAGUUUAGUGUUUUAUUUUGACUUGUUCUUGAAGUCAUUGUCUAUGUUGUGUAAAAGGAGUGGUCUGGAUUGCAUGUUUAAUUUGUGUUGUUGCUUCAAAUGUGAAAGUUGUACGCAGAACUCAGCUUCAGAUGCAUACUAGCUUGUACUCCAAACAUACCAUUGUAACCUUCCAUUACUUAAAAAAGAUUAAUUUCAUUUACCUUCUCGGGUUUUUGACUAAAUAUACUGACAGCAACAAAUGAAAAUGAUAUAAGAGAUAUUUAACAAAUUUUCAAAUCAAAACAUGAAGGUGAAUGAAAUUAAUUCCUACUUACAAGAUGUUAUGAUGAAUGUUAGAUGAGUUUGAAUUAAUUAAGUCAUGGAAUUGGGGAUUUUGAAGGAAAUAUCAUAGAGAGUUAUCGGUGAAACAUUUUUAAGAUAUUUGUUCUAAUUUUAAUAACUUAAGUUUACUUUUAGGUUGAAAUAUUCUUAGGUUGUUAAAUUAAACCUUAUUACUUAAAUUUUACUUUUAAGUGUUUAGAUUCAUUGAAUAUCUUUUCUAAAUUUUCAAAUUGACACAUUUUUUCUUACUAAUUUUAACUAGCAUUUACCUUCAUUUAUCUUAAGUAAUAAAAUUGUUUGUUUAACAUUCAUAUUAAAAGUUUUGUAUACAUACAAAAUAAAUCAUAACAUGGAGUUAUAGAUGUAAAAAAACUCUCAAUAUUGGCAAAUAAGAUCAGAGAAAUUUAAGAUUUAAAAUAAGUUAAUCAUUUUGACUUAAUACUUGAAAUUAUUUUUAACUUUAAUUUACAACAGUAAGUUAUUUUACCCACCAUGUUUAAUUAAUCUACUUAUUGAAAUUAAAUUAUUAAAUUAUAUCAAUUAAUCACAUAGUUGAACCAUCCAACAUCCUCUAACUUAAUAACUUAAUUUUAUUUAAUAAUUUAAUUUAAAUUAUUAUAUAUAUUAAAUAUGUUUGGUAAGAUAACUUAGAGAGUGUUUAAUAAAUCAACCUAUGGAACUACGUGAUUAAAUUUAAGUUAUCAAGUAUAUUAAAUAUGUUUGGUAAAAUAAUUUAUUAUUAUAACUUAAAAUUAAAAAUAACUUUAAUAAAUCAAUUUGAUAACUUGAUAAAACUUAAUAACUUGAGCAUAAAUAAUUUGACUUAAAGUCAUUUUAAGUCAUUGAGUAUUAAGUUUUACUAAAUGGCUAUUUUGAAAAGUGUUUAAUAAAAUAAAUGACUUAAAAAAUACUUUUUAUGUUUUUAAAUAACUUUUAUAUAUAGUGUUUUAUUUUUUAUCAUUCUCCAUAUUUGCAUAAUUAUUUUUAAAAUAAUCCUUAAAAAACAAUGGAAAACAACUAAAAACACUUAAAUGAUGUUUUCUUUCUUGUUUUUAAGAAUAAAAAAUUGUCUUUUAUUUUUUAGUUGUCAAAUGUGUUUUCUUGUUUUUUUUUUUUUUUUUUGAAGAAUAGAAAAUUGUUUUAAAAAAUGGUUACCAAAUAGACCCUGAGGUCUUGUUUGUUGUUUGGUAACUAUUUUUUAAAACAAUUUUGAAAAAUAGGUUUUAAGAACAGUUCUUUAAAACUAUUUUGUGAUGUUUUAUAGAACAAGAGUUCGUUUGGGAACCUAAAAUAUUUUUAAUCUGUUUUUUAAUAUUUUUAAAUAUGUUUUAAAAAUAAUUUUUAUAUCCACAACUUUUUUUUUAAAUAAUUAUCUAUCUUUAUAUAAUUAUUUUUUAAAACAAUUCUUAAAAAAUAAGUGAAACAAUUAAAAACAAAUAAAAAAUAUUAUUUGAAAACACCAUAUUUUUUGUUUUGAAGAACUAAAAUAAACCCUAAGUUUCUCAUUUCUCCUUUUAAUUCUUCCUAUGGUGGUUUAUAUAUUUGGUUUGUAGAGUUACAAAUUUCUUUACAAUUUUGGCUAAGAUCAAUUUAUUUUUAUCUAAAUUUAAUUGAAGCAUAUGCCCAUAAUUUUGAAUUUCUCAACCCUUUUAAGAAGGUUAAAACUUUUUUCGGAAACCAGUUUUUUCUUUCCACUUCAUUUUUUUUUUUUUUUUGUUUACCUUCUGCUUUUAUGUUUAUUUCUAUAUCUCUACCCAUUUAAUUUGGACAUUUGCAUAUAUAUAUUUCUAUUCAUUAGGCUUUGUUGAAGCCAACCAAAUAUAUGAAAUGGUUCACCUUUGGUAUAAAAAUAUAUUUUUUUUAUAGAUACCGAGAAGGCACCAUUAAUCAGAUGGUGUCACGCAUAUAUUUUCAAUUCGUAUUAUUUUUAUCAUAAUCUCAAUUAUUUAUACUCUUAUACCUGGUAUAUGCAGCAGAUGUUCUCAGACAUAGAAUCCAACUUUGACAAAUGGGCUUCAUACUCUGCUUCUAUGACUAUGAGAAGUCCUUAAGAACAAUAAGGCCCAAAGUCGCUCUCUCCGUGGCCGAGAGAGUGUUUUGCUGCGACCAACGUGACAUUCUUGCGAAGGUCAUGACCCCUUGCACUAUAAUCCAACCCGCUAAUGAUGCUGCUAUCCCAAACUCUGUGGCCGAGUAUAUGCAGACGAAGAUCAAGGGGGAAACGACAGUGGAGAAGAUAGACAUGGAUGGCCAUUUCCCUCAUCUAGAUGCACACCUCCAGUUCCUUAAUGUGCUAGGUAGUGUCUUGGGUUUCAAUCCUCAUCUGGAGUCGUCAAGCAAUUAGCUACAAAUUUCCACUUUUGCUAUCUCCAUAGACAUAUCUUUCUCUUUCAGGUAGCCUAUAAGAGAAUAUGGUCAGAAAUGAAUGCCCAUUUGCAGUAC